AUGACUACUCCAUGGGUUCGUCUUGUGCUGCUACUCCUGGCUGGCGUCGCAGCAUGCCACGCCCGCCCACAUUUUGACGGCGGUGCCGUCAUCGAUGAGACGCCCCAGCCCCUGCGGCCAUCCAUGAUCUCAUGCUCAACUGCCGGCAACUACACCGACGGAAGCAAGUACCAUGUGAACCUCGACCGGCUCCUGACGGCCAUCCCCGUGGCCGCCGACUCCAACGGCUUCUUCAACGGCACAUUCGGCGCGGUGGGCGACGAGGUCUUUGGCAUGUUCAUGUGCUACGCUGACGACGCCGACUCUGAGUGCCAGGACUGCCUCACCCGCGCCCCCGAAGGUAUCAUGAAGGUGUGUCCUCACAGCCGGACGGUCCGCGCUGUCUACAGCGCCUGCACCAUCCAAUACUCCAACAAGUCCUUCUUCUCUGUUGCUGACCUUACCGUGGUUGACACGGUCGACCUUUCGGUCGCGCCCCAGCUGGAACAAACCCCUUACCCAACUUGGAACAACAGAGACCCUGAAGGUUGGCACCAAGGAGUCGUACUCGUAGGGUACGUUGUGGACACUGCCGGUAUGAGCCACGCAAGGUUUAAGUUGAUCCAUCGGCUCAUGGUGAAGGCUUGCCAGAGGGAUGAACGGAUCGCUGAGGGCAGACAGAAGUUCACCGAUCCGGAGUGGGUGCAGGCGGUGGUGCAGUGCACGAGGGAUCUGCCGGCGAGUGAGUGCACCCGCUGCCUCACCUAUUACACCGAUCAGCUGCCACGGUUGUUCCCAAGCAACAGCGGUGGCGCCAUCAAAGGGUCAAGCUGCUACCUGCGCUACGCCAUCCUUGCUGACAAGCCGCGCCCGCGCACUGUGCGGCUUGAGAGGUACCGGUAUAGGGAGGGAUAUGAGACAGAGGAAAAUGAGCGUGAGAGGAAGAUGCUGGUGGAGCUCAGAGAAAGCCGACGAAAGGUUGUCAUCAUCACCAGCCUUAUCACCAUCUCCGUGGUGCUUUUUGUCUGCCUGAUCGUCCUAUUGGUUUGGUUCAUGUUGUACCGGUGGCAAACAUGGGUGGCAGCGGCCAGGGUUGCCAUGAGAUCAGUGUUGUACCGGUGGCGAACAUGGGUGGCAGCGGUCAGGGUUGCCAUGAGAUCUUACAUGGAAAAACCUCCUAAAGAGGCGGCCUACUUGCCCGGCAAAAGUACACGCCAAGACGAACUCGAGCAAGGGACUGGGCUGAGAAAAUUUAGGUAUGACGAGCUCGCCGCUGCCACCGACAACUUCUCUGGUAGGAACAAGCUGGGAGAAGGAGGCUUCGGUUCUGUGUACCGAGGGUUCCUCCAUGACAUGAACCUUCACAUUGCUGUGAAGAAAGUGUCCAAGAGCUCUCGUCAGGGCUGGAAGGAGUUUGUCUCCGAGGUGAAGAUCAUUAGCCGUCUCCGGCACCGGAACCUCGUGCCGCUCGUUGGAUGGUUCUAUGGCGGUGACGAUGAUGGUCUUUUGCUCGUGUAUGAACUGAUGCCCAAUGGUAGCCUGGACGCACACCUUUACAAGCUGGACCAGCUGCUGCCAUGGGCAGUCAGGUAUCAGGUCGCGCUCGGUGUGGGCUCAGCGCUGAUGUACCUGCACCAGGACACGGAGGAGCGCGUUCUGCAUAGGGACAUCAAGCCGAGCAACAUCAUGCUGGACGCGUCCUUCAAUGCCAGGCUUGGUGACUUCGGGCUUGCGAGGUUUAUCUGCGAUGGCCGGGGCUCAUUGACGACGGGUGCAGCCGGGACGCUCGGCUACAUGGACCCGAAGUGCGUGUUUGCGGGCAAAGCCAGUGUGGAAUCUGACAUCUACAGCUUUGGUGUCGUCCUGCUCGAGAUGGCGUGUGGUCGGGUGCCAGCGGUGGCCGUAGACGACGAUGACGGAGUCGUCAUCCACCUGUUGCAGUGGGUAUGGGAGUCGCAUGGCAGAGGAGCCAUCCUCGAGGCAGCCGACGCGCGGCUGGACGGCAAGUUCGACGAGAAAGAGAUGGAGUGUGUCAUGGUGGUCGGGCUCUGGUGCGGACACCCUGACCCUGCCUUGAGGCCGUCCAUCAGGCAGGCCGUCAGUGUGCUGCGGUUGGAGGUGCCGCCGCCGAGCCUCCCGGGGAAGAUGCCGGUGGCGACAUACAUGAUGCGGCCAGAGGCUGAUGAAUCUUUCGGCUCUUCCGUUGUCAGCCACGGCGGCGGCAGCGUGGACUCCGGCAUGACUCAUUCUACUCGAGGCAAAGUCGAGUAG
rnacentral:rRNA from 1 species